AAAGAGAAUAAUAUGAUAACACUGUUAUAAGUUCUACCUCUGCAGCCGUAUGUUUUAACAAAUCAUUUAUACGAGUACGAGUGAUUAAACUCUACCAUACGAUUACAGCGAUCUUGUCAGUUUCCAUAACAGUACUUAAGUAGUGUGCAAUCGUCAAUACUGUAGUGCAGCGGUUCCCUGUAAACUUUUUAGUUGUGCGGACCACCAAUUUUGUAAAAACAAAUUUGAGACCUCUGGCCCACUAAACUAAUCCGCAG